UACGAGGGAUGCAAGCGUUAUCCGGAAUUAUUGGGCGUAAAGCGUUUGUAAGCGGGCGAGUGUGUUUAAUGUUAAAUCUUAAAGCUCAACUUUGAAAUUGCGUUAAAAACUGCUUGUCUUGAGUAUGGUAGGGGUAAAGGGAAUUCCCAGUGUAGCGGUGAAAUGCGUAGAUAUUGGGAAGAACACUAAACAGCGAAGGCACUUUACUAGGCUAAUACUGACGCUGAGAAACGAAAGGUAAGGUAGCGAAACGGAUUAGAUACCCGUGUAGUCUUACCCGUAAACUAUGGACACUAAACGGUAAAUUUUUAAUUUACUGUUAAAGCUAACGCGUUAAGUGUCCCGCCUGGGGAGUAUGCUUGCAAAAGUGAAACUCAAAGGAAUUGACGGGGGCCCGCACAAGCGGUGGAGCAUGUGGUUUAAUUCGACGGUACACGAAGAACCUUACCAGGAUUUGACAUGCUAGAUAGUUGCUUGAAAGAGUAACGUGCCGUAAGGAAUCUAGACACAGGUGGUGCAUGGCUGUCGUCAGUUCGUGUUGUGAAAUGUUGGGUUAAGUCCCGCAACGAACGCAACCCUUGUCUUUAGUUAUUUUCUAAAGAGACUGCCUGUAAUAAACAGGAGGAAGGUAAGGAUGAGGUCAAGUCAUCAUGCCCCUUAUGUCCUGGGCUACACACGUGCUACAAUGGGAAAGACAAUGAGCUGCAAAUCUGUAAAUUUAAGCAAAUCUCUUAAACUUUCUCGUAGUUCGGAUUGUGGGCUGCAACUCGCCCACAUGAAGUUGGAAUCGCUAGUAAUCGCCAGUCAGCUAUAUGGCGGUGAAUCCGUUCCCGGGCCU
rnacentral:rRNA from 1 species